UACUAACUCUGGCGGCGUGCUUAACACAUGCAAGUCGAACGGAAAGGCCCUGCUUUUGUGGGGUGCUCGAGUGGCGAACGGGUGAGUAACACGUGAGUAACCUGCCCUUGACUUUGGGAUAACUUCAGGAAACUGGGGCUAAUACCGGAUAGGAGCUCCUGCUGCAUGGUGGGGGUUGGAAAGUUUCGGCGGUUGGGGAUGGACUCGCGGCUUAUCAGCUUGUUGGUGGGGUAGUGGCUGACCAAGGCUUUGACGGGUAGCCGGCCUGAGAGGGUGGCCGGGCACAAUGGGACUGCGAUACGGCGCAGACGGCAACGGGAGGCAGCAGUGGGGAAUAUGACACAGUGGGCGGAAGCCUGAUGCAGCAACGUCGCGAGCGGGAUGACGGGCUACGAGUUAUAAACCGCUUUCGCAGGUGACGAGGCGUUAGUGACGGUAAUGGGUAAAGAAGCACCGGCUAACUACGUG
rnacentral:rRNA from 1 species